CAUUAUUGAAUUAUGUUUUCURGUCAGGUUGUCGCUGGCUCUUCGGAGCAUGUGCACGCUUGUCUGGAUUUCAUUUUCAUCCACCUGUGCACCUUUUGUAGGCUUCGAAAGCUGAUGUCUGGUAAAGUGUUCGACCRUCGAGAGGUUACUCUCGGAUGUGGGGACUGCAGUGUGAAAACACGGCUUUCCUCAGUGAUCAUGAUAUCGUUCAUCGACCGUUCGGAGUCUAUGUUUUUCAUACACCCUGUAGUAUGUCAAAGAAUGUUCUUGCAUGGGCUUUGUGCCUAUGAAAAUUGUAAUACAACUUUCAGCAACGGAUCUCUUGGCUCUCGCAUCGAUGAAGAACGCAGCGAAAUGCGAUAAGUAAUGUGAAUUGCAGAAUUCAGUGAAUCAUCGAAUCUUUGAACGCAACUUGCGCUCCUUGGUAUUCCGAGGAGUAUGCCUGUUUGAGUGUCAUUAAAUUCUCAACCCUCCAACAUUUUUGUGUCGGAGGGCUUGGAUUGUGGAGGCGUGCUGGCUUUGACAAAGGUCAGCUCCUCUGAAAUGCAUUAGCGGAACCGUUUGCGAUCUGCCACAAGUGUGAUAAUUAUCUACACUGGCUAUGGGGGAUUGCUCUCUUAGUGUUCAGCUUCCAAUCGUCUUUGGACAAACUUUUUGAAUACUUGACCUCAAAUCAGG
rnacentral:rRNA from 1 species